GUUUUGCCCGCCUGAGAAAACCAGUUGCCCUCGUGCUAAAAAUGUUAAUGAAACUCCUGCUUAAGAGAUUAAGGGUGUCAUUAAGGUUAAAACAUUUCCUGUUUCUUACUAGAUACAAAACAGAGAAGCAACAAUGAAAGUAUGUGCUGAGACUUGAGAGGAGAAAGAAUCAUGUUGAAACACUGGAUUCUAUAAUAAAUACAAACCAGAAAGCUGUGUGCUGAGAAUCAUGUGGAGAAAGACUCAUAUUAAGGCAGUAGAUUCCAUAUCAGUUUCUUACUAGAUACAAAACAAAGAAGCAAGGAAAAGAGCUAUGUGCUGAGACUCGAGAGAAUCAAAUUGAGACAUUGGAUCCCAUAGUAGAUACAAAACAGAGAAGCAACAAUGAAAGUAUGUGCUGAGACUUGAGAGGAGAAAGAAUCAUGUUGAAACACUGGAUUCUAUAAUAAAUACAAACCAGAAAGCUGUGUGCUGAGAAUCAUGUGGAGAAAGACUCAUAUUAAGGCAGUAGAUUCCAUAUCAGUUUCUUACUAGAUACAAAACAAAGAAGCAAGGAAAAGAGCUAUGUGCUGAGACUCAAGAGAAUCAAAUUGAGACAUUGGAUCCCAUAGUAGAUACAAAACAGAGAAGAAACAAAAGAAGCUGUGCUGAGACUCAAGAGGAAAAACAAUCAAAUUGAGGAAUUGGAUUCCUUAUUAGGCUGCCAACUCAAGUGUACAUGUAGCGACAUUAACAUGGAGAAGGAAGCAAAGGAAAGCAAAGAACUUCGUUUAGAUGUUUUUUUUCAGCGGAUUACGUUUUAAGAGUAAGGUAGAUUUACACGACAAGGUUCAUCUCGAUGGAGUUUCUCGCGAGAGAUUGUUAGGGCGGAGCUCGUAUUAGGUGGUUUUAUAACACAAAACUCAACAGAAGACAGUGAAAUUACUGUCAAAUUGUCCAGUAUCUCUACCAAGCUGUCUUGUACAUGUAUCUUGCUAGUUUUCAAGGAAGCCCUGAAUUCUAUUUCAAGUUUGCAGCCUUAAAAUUUAAGGUAGAAUCGAAGCAUUACCUGGAUUACUUUUUGCAACUCGAAUUUUCAGCCUGGAAGUCUCGCUAUUAAACUCGUUGAAAUUGCAGUCUAUUUGUCUAGUAUCUAUUUCACAAAUUUGUGAAAUCUUUUUAGUUUUCAAGGAGGUAUUGAAUUGAUUGCGCUUUUAAAAGGGCCAAGAAAAAAAAUCGAAAAGAAACUAAGUCUUUUAGUGGAAAAGUGUCCUUAGAAAAAAAAGUCUGCAAUUUUAAAUGGUGUCUGGUUUGGAGUUAAACAUAUACUGAGACUUUUGGCGGAAAAAAUCUUGCACUAUGUAGGAUUUUUCCUAUCAAAAGUCAAACUAUAUGCUUGAUUUCUGGCUAGACUUCGUUCAAAAGCGCAGAAUUUUUUUUCUUUUUGGCAACCCUACA